GAUGAAGAACGUAGCGAAAUGCGAUAAGUAAUGUGAAUUGCAGAAUUCAGUGAAUCAUCGAAUCUUUGAACGCACAUUGCGCCCGCCAGUAUUCUGGCGGGCGUGCCUGUUCGAGCGUCAUUACAACCCUCAGGCCCCCGGGCCUGGCGUUGGGGAUCGGCGGAGCCCCCCGUGGGCACACGCCGUCCCCCAAAUGCAGUGGCGGUCCCGCCGCAGCUUCCAUCGCGUAGUAGCUAACACCUCGCGACUGGAGAGCGGCGCGGCCACGCCGUAAAACACCCAACUCUUCUGAAGUUGACCUCGAAUCAGGUAGGAAUACCCGCUGAACUUAAGCAUAUCAAUAAGCGGAGGA
rnacentral:misc_RNA from 1 species